rnacentral:rRNA from 1 species
UGGGGAAUAUUGCGCAAUGGGCGAAAGCCUGACGCAGCAACGCCGCGUGAGUGAUGAAGGCCUUCGGGUCGUAAAGCUCUGUCGGAGGGAACGAAUGCUCCCGAGGUUAACAGCCUCGAGAAGUGACGGUACCCUCAAAGGAAGCACCGGCUAACUCUGUGCCAGCAGCCGCGGUAAUACAGAGGGUGCAAGCGUUGUUCGGAAUUACUGGGCGUAAAGGGCGCGUAGGCGGGUCGUUUAGUUAGAGGUGAAAGCCCAGGGCUCAACCCUGGAAUUGCCUUUAAUACUGGCGGCCUUGAGUAUGGCAGAGGUGUGUGGAACUCCGAGUGUAGAGGUGAAAUUCGUAGAUAUUCGGAAGAACACCAGUGGCGAAGGCGACACACUGGGCCAUUACUGACGCUGAGGCGCGAAAGCGUGGGGAGCAAAC